rnacentral:rRNA from 1 species
UACGUAGGUGGCAAGCGUUGUCCGGAUUUACUGGGCGUAAAGGAUGCGUAGGCGGAUGUUUAAGUGAGAUGUGAAAUACCCGAGCUCAACUUGGGUGCUGCAUUUCAAACUGGAUAUCUAGAGUGCAGGAGAGGAAAGCGGAAUCCUAGUGUAGCGGUGAAAUGCGUAGAGAUUAGGAAGAACACCAGUGGCGAAGGCGGCUUCU